AGCAGCCGCGGUAAUUCCAGCUCCAAUAGCGUAUAUUAAAGUUGUUGCAGUUAAAAAGCUCGUAGUUGAAUUUCGGGAUCAAAUUGUCGGUCGUGCCUCGGUACGCACUGGUAUUAUUGGUUCCUACCUUCUGAAGAACCGCGAUGUCAUUAAUUUGGUGUCGUGGGGAAUCAGGACUGUUACUUUGAAAAAAUUAGAGUGUUUAAAGCAGGCUUACGCUUGAAUACAUUAGCAUGGAAUAAUGAAAUAGGACGUUUGAUUCUAUUUUGUUGGUUUCUAGGAUUGACGUAAUGAUUAAUAGGGAUAGUUGGGGGGCAUUAGUAUUCAAUUGUCAGAGGUGAAAUUCUUGGAUUUAUUGAAGACUAACUACUGCGAAAGCAUUUGCCAAGGAUGUUUUCAUUAAUCAAGAACGAAAGUUAGGGGAUCGAAGACGAUCAGAUACCGUCGUAGUCUUAACCAUAAACUAUGCCGACUAGGGAUCGGAUGAUGUUAAUUUUUUUAAUGACUCAUUCGGCGCCUU
rnacentral:rRNA from 1 species